GGGUUCGGAAACAGGUACUUGAGCUAUACUCGCUAACUGACUUGCUGAUUUGGAAAUUUCGAAUGGGUUGGACGGCGUCAUUACUGGAGUAGCAACGCUUCUAUUAUAAACGCGAGCACCAGCUUCUUUCACAGAAAGCUUACUAGAAGCCAAAGAGAGACUUCUACCAGGACUCAGAUCCAAAUCGAUAGAAGAAGUAGCCUCCGAAAAACGGUCCUUGCUAGCUUGCUGGCUAGCAGAGAUUGAAAAGUUAGAAGGAGGAUGUGAAUCACACAUUUCAGAGAUAUUACUAGAUGACUUUGAGGCCGACUCUGUUUGUUGAGACAAUGCAGCCCGUUUGCUAGCAGAUAUUGGUAGUUCGGAAGAUGAUUGAUGAAAAUAAGGUAAUUGUGUCUUAUUCAAAAUGGCAGCAUUUAAAGCUUGGUGCUCAAUAGCUUGCUUGAUGGCACCGUUUUUCAGUUUUUCCAUAUUUGGGUUAUAAAAUGAGGUUGAAGAAACAGAGGGAUCAUUAAUCAUUAAGGACUGAGACUCGACAGCACAUUUACUAGCAUCAUUUUUAAGUUUUUCUACCCCAAGAUCUGAUACUGAUGGUUUUGGAAUUGUAGCGUCAGAAC